UCCAACAGUUGUCAGCUAUUCAGGCUGUGUGGUGCCUGUGAUUGUGUUACACUGUUGGAAGAGUAAAUGCUGUUUACUGAGGGCCAGCUCCGAGCACCGUUUUGGUGUUGGUGCUGAUUACCUUUAAGCAGUGUUGCAUCCCUGAGAGUGGACUAACUCCUUGUCGGGUUGGUCCUGGUCUAGGUGCAAACAGU
ensembl:snoRNA SNORA74 Small nucleolar RNA SNORA74